rnacentral:rRNA from 1 species
GAUGAACGCUGGCGGCGUGCUUAACACAUGCAAGUCGAACGGAAAGGCCCAAGCUUGCUUGGGUACUCGAGUGGCGAACGGGUGAGUAACACGUGGGUGAUCUGCCCUGCACUUCGGGAUAAGCCUGGGAAACUGGGUCUAAUACCGGAUAGGACCACGUCUUGGAUGUUGUGGUGGAAAGUUUUUUCGGUGUGGGAUGAGCUCGCGGCCUAUCAGCUUGUUGGUGGGGUAAUGGCCUACCAAGGCGUCGACGGGUAGCCGGCCUGAGAGGGUGUACGGCCACAUUGGGACUGAGAUACGGCCCAGACUCCGACGGGAGGCAGCAGUGGGGAAUAUUGCACAAUGGGCGCAAGCCUGAUGCAGCGACGCCGCGUGGGGGAUGACGGCCUUCGGGUUGUAAACUCCUGUCGCUAGGGACGAAGCGUUUUUGUGACGGUACCUGGAGAAGAAGCACCGGCUAACUACGUG